UGAUAGCGCUUAAGCGCGA
rnacentral:snRNA from 1 species